GAUGAACGCUGGCGGCGUGCCUAAUACAUGCAAGUCGAACGCAUAGCGAAAGGUGCUUGCACCUUUCAAGUGAGUGGCGAACGGGUGAGUAACACGUGGACAACCUGCCUCAAGGCUGGGGAUAACAUUUGGAAACAGAUGCUAAUACCGAAUAAAACUUAGUGUCGUAUGACACAAAGUUAAAAGGCGCUUCGGCGUCACCUAGAGAUGGAUCCGCGGUGCAUUAGUUAGUUGGUGGGGUAAAGGCCUACCAAGACAAUGAUGCAUAGCCGAGUUGAGAGACUGAUCGGCCACAUUGGGACUGAGACACGGCCCAAACUCCUACGGGAGGCUGCAGUAGGGAAUCUUCCACAAUGGGCGAAAGCCUGAUGGAGCAACGCCGCGUGUGUGAUGAAGGCUUUCGGGUCGUAAAGCACUGUUGUAUGGGAAGAACAGCUAGAAUAGGAAAUGAUUUUAGUUUGACGGUACCAUACCAGAAAGGGACGGCUAAAUACGU
rnacentral:rRNA from 1 species